ACAGCAUUGAACAAGGAUCUCAAGUCAGAAAUGUUGACUUGUGGUCCUGUUUUGUUGAACCAAUAGACUCAGGCUUAUCUCAAUAUAAGUUUAAUGGUUGAACAAAACUGGUGCUAACAUUAUCUGGAGCCCACAGGACCGCCGGCCCUUUAAUUGUGCCGAGACGGUAGUAUUAGGCUCUCCACAUUACCAUU
rnacentral:snoRNA from 1 species